rnacentral:rRNA from 1 species
CACACUGCCGAGAAAAGCCUCUAGAUAGAAAAUAGGUGCCCGUACCGCAAACCGACACAGGUAGUCAAGAUGAGAAUUCUAAGGUGAGCGAGCGAACUCUCGUUAAGGAACUCGGCAAAAUGACCCCGUAACUUCGGGAGAAGGGGUGCUCUUUAGGGUUAACGCCCAGAAGAGCCGCAGUGAAUAGGCCCAAGCGACUGUUUAUCAAAAACACAGGUCUCUGCUAAACCGUAAGGUGAUGUAUAGGGGCUGACGCCUGCCCGGUGCUGGAAGGUUAAGAGGAGUGGUUAGCUUCUGCGAAGCUACGAAUCGAAGCCCCAGUAAACGGCGGCCGUAACUAUAACGGUCCUAAGGUAGCGAAAUUCCUUGUCGGGUAAGUUCCGACCCGCACGAAAGGCGUAACGAUUUGGGCACUGUCUCAACGAGAGACUCGGUGAAAUCAUAGUACCUGUGAAGAUGCAGGUUACCCGCGACAGGACGGAAAGACCCCGUGGAGCUUUACUGUAGCCUGAUAUUGAAAUUCGGCACAGCUUGUACAGGAUAGGUAGGAGCCUUUGAAACGUGAGCGCUAGCUUACGUGGAGGCGCUGGUGGGAUACUACCCUAGCUGUGUUGGCUUUCUAACCCGCACCACUUAUCGUGGUGGGAGACAGUGUCAGGCGGGCAGUUUGACUGGGGCGGUCGCCUCCUAAAAGGUAACGGAGGCGCUCAAAGGUUCCCUCAGAAUGGUUGGAAAUCAUUCAUAGAGUGUAAAGGCAUAAGGGAGCUUGACUGCGAGACCUACAAGUCGAGCAGGGUCGAAAGACGGAC